rnacentral:rRNA from 1 species
UACGUAGGGGGCAAGCGUUGUCCGGAAGUCAUUGGGCGUAAAGCGUGCGCAGGCGGUGAUGUAAGACAGAUGUGAAAUCCCCGGGCUCAACCUGGGAACUGCAUUUGUGACUGCAUCGCUGGAGUACGGCAGAGGGGGAUGGAAUUCCGCGUGUAGCAGUGAAAUGCGUAGAUAUGCGGAGGAACACCGAUGGCGAAGGCAAUCCCCUGGGCCUGUACUGACGCUCAUGCACGAAAGCGUGGGGAGCAAACAGG